UACGUAGGGGGCUAGCGUUGCUCGGAAUCACUGGGCGUAAAGCGCACGUAGGCGGAUUGUUAAGUCAGGGGUGAAAUCCUGGAGCUCAACUCCAGAAUUGCCUUUGAUACUGGCGAUCUCGAGUCCGGGAGAGGUGAGUGGAACUGCGAGUGUAGAGGUGAAAUUCGUAGAUAUUCGCAAGAACACCAGUGGCGAAGGCGGCUCACUGGGCCGGUACUGACGCUGAGGUGCGAAAGCGUGGGGAGCAAACAGG
rnacentral:rRNA from 1 species